UGCAAGUCGAACGAAGUCUUCGGACUUAGUGGCGGACGGGUGAGUAACGCGUGGGAAUCUGCCUUCAGGAGGGGGAUAACAGAGGGAAACCUUUGCUAAUACCCCAUAUGCCUAUGGGUGAAAUGAAUUUCGCCUGAAGAUGAGCCCGCGUCUGAUUAGCUAGUUGGUGGGGUAAUAGCCUACCAAGGCGACGAUCAGUAGCUGGUCUGAGAGGAUGAUCAGCCACACUGGGACUGAGACACGGCCCAGACUCCUACGGGAGGCAGCAGUGGGGAAUUUUCCGCAAUGGGCGAAAGCCUGACGGAGCAACGCCGCGUGAGUGAUGAAGGCCCUUGGGUCGUAAAGCUCUUUUGUCAGGGACGAUAAUGACGGUACCUGAUGAAUAAGCAUCGGCUAACUCUGUGCCAGCAGCCGCGGUAAUACAGAGGAUGCAAGCGUUAUCCGGAAUUAUUGGGCGUAAAGCGUACGUAGGUGGCGAUUCAAGUCUGGGGUCAAAGCCCGCAGCUCAACUGCAGAAAGGCCAUGGAAACUGAAACGCUAGAGUGCGAUAGAGGUAAGGGGAAUUCCCGGUGUAGCGGUGAAAUGUGGAGAUAUCGGGAAGAACACCAGCGGCGAAAGCGCCUUACUGGGUCGCAACUGACACUGAGGUACGAAAGCCAGGGGAGCAAAUGGGAUUAGAUACCCCAGUAGUCCUGGCCGUAAACGAUGGACACUAGGUGUUGCGCGUAUCGACCCGUGCAGUGCCGUAGCUAACGCGUUAAGUGUCCCGCCUGGGGAGUACGCACGCAAGUGUGAAACUCAAAGGAAUUGACGGGGGCCCGCACAAGCGGUGGAGCAUGUGGUUUAAUUCGAUGCAACGCGAAGAACCUUACCAGGGCUUGACAUACCGUGUAUUCUGGGGAAACUCGGAAGUGCCUUCGGGAACAUGGAUACAGGUGCUGCAUGGCUGUCGUCAGCUCGUGUCGUGAGAUGUUGGGUUAAGUCCCGCAACGAGCGCAACCCUCGUUUUCAGUUGCCAUCAUUUAGUUGGGCACUCUGGAGAGACUGCCGGUGACAAACCGGAGGAAGGUGGGGAUGACGUCAAGUCAGCAUGGCUCUUACGUCCUGGGCUACACACGUGCUACAAUGGGUCGGAUAAAGGGUAGCAAUCUCGCGAGAGGGAGCCAAUCCCAAAAACCGCCUCUCAGUUCGGAUUGUAGGCUGCAACUCGCCUACAUGAAGUCGGAAUCGCUAGUAAUCGCAGGUCAGCAUACUGCGGUGAAUACGUUCCCGGGCCUUGUACACACCGCCCGUCACACCAUGGAAGCUGGUCAUGCCCGAAGUCUGUAUUCUAACC
rnacentral:rRNA from 1 species